GCGUAACGCGUGGGAACCUGCCUUUAGGUUCGGAAUAACUCAGAGAAAUUUGAGCUAAUACCGGAUAAUGUCUUCGGACCAAAGAUUUUAUCGCCUUUUAGAUGGGCCCGCGUUGGAUUAGCUAGUUGGUGGGGUAAAGGCCUACCAAGGCGACGAUCCAUAGCUGGUCUGAGAGGAUGAUCAGCCACACUGGGACUGAGACACGGCCCAGACUCCUACGGGAGGCAGCAGUGGGGAAUAUUGGACAAUGGGCGAAAGCCUGAUCCAGCAAUGCCGCGUGAGUGAUGAAGGCCUUAGGGUUGUAAAGCUCUUUUACCCGAGAUGAUAAUGACAGUAUCGGGAGAAUAAGCUCCGGCUAACUCCGUG
rnacentral:rRNA from 1 species